rnacentral:rRNA from 1 species
GGGUCGGUAGGUUGGUCGUGCCACCGGUACGUACUGGUCUCACUGAUUCCUCCUUCCUGAAGAACCGUAAUGCCAUUAAUUUGGUGUUGCGGGGAAACAGGACUGUUACUUUGAAAAAAUUAGAGUGUUUAAAGCAAACUAACGCUUGAAUACAUUAGCAUGGAAUAAUGAAAUAGGACGAUCGAUCCUAUUUUGUUGGUUUCUAGGAUUGACGUA